UGGGGAAUCUUGCGCAAUGGGCGAAAGCCUGACGCAGCAACGCCGCGUGAGCGAAGACGGCCUUCGGGUUGUAAAGCUCUGUCAGGAGGGACGAAGCCACUCAGGUGAAUAGCCGAGAGGGUGACGGUACCUCCAGAGGAAGCCCCGGCUAACUACGUGCCAGCAGCCGCGGUAAUACGUAGGGGGCAAGCGUUGUCCGGAAUCAUUGGGCGUAAAGCGCGCGUAGGGGGCCAUCCAAGUCUGGUGUGAAAGCCCGGGGCUCAACCCCGGGUCUGCACUGGAAACUGAAUGGCUUGAGUCCGGAAGAGGAGACUGGAAUUCCUGGUGUAGCGGUGAAAUGCGCAGAUAUCAGGAAGAACACCGGUGGCGAAGGCGGGUCUCUGGGACGGUACUGACGCUGAGACGCGAAAGCGUGGGGAGCAAACA
rnacentral:rRNA from 1 species